rnacentral:misc_RNA from 1 species
GGAAUAAAAGUCGUAACAAGGUCUCCGUUGGUGAACCAGCGGAGGGAUCAUUACUGGAAUCGCAAGAUCCCACAACCCCUGUGAACCUACCGAAACGUUGCCUCGGCGGGCGCCCGGCCCCGCGCCGGGCGCUGAGCCCGCCGGCGGCCCCCUACUCUUGUCUCUGCAGCGUGGCACCUCAGAGUCCCAGAAAACAAGUAAAAACUUUCAACAACGGAUCUCUUGGCUCUA